AGCCAACCUGGGCUUCUCUCCAGUCAGGGGCAUAUGGUGAGGUCACAAUGGCUGAAGGGGAUGAGACAGAAGACGAUUGAUUUCAGAGCCAGAGAGAGUAAUCCUAUCAAAUGCAGGUGCACAGAAAUUAGGAGAUCAGAACAGCUCCUUGCAUUUCUUGCUACAUUUCCAGUAUUUUCCCAUUCCCUUGCUCAGUGCCUUGUCAGCACACCUAGAAUUGAGGGUGUGAUAAGAGAGGAGCAGAAAAGUAAGACUGAAAUAUUGUCCAAUACGACUAAGAAUUUUGCAGAAUGCAAUAAUUGUUUUAAACACAACAGCAGUUUAUGGUUAUCAAGGCACCAAGGAAUAGCACUGCCAAGAAUUUACUGAGCAGUAGGGCUUCUCUGACAGGAACUGCGCAGCAAUGUUCUCCCAGCAGCUUGACGUCAUUCUGCAUUGGUUGGAGUGAGAUUGGACAGAGCGUGGCUGAAGCUGACAGGAAAGAGAUUAUGCAGGAGUAUGAAGUUAAACAAACAAGAGAAGAUGAAGGAGGAAAAGAAGAAGAUGGAGGAGGACAAAGUUUUCAGAAGUGCUUAUUAGAGCUAUUACAUGCCAAAUAUCUACUCUGUGGGAAAAGCAAAUUUCACAUUUUUAUCAACUCUGUAUUCACACAUCUGAUCAAGAGAUGUUAGAAGCCAGUUCUUGAGAAUGGCAGGACCACCUUGUGGACAUAACCUGGGUCGGUGAAUGACUGCACGGAGCAGAGUCCUACCUGUCAAGACGUCAGAUUAUGAUGCUUGAAACAGAGUUCCUAGUGGAAGACCCAGAGGCUCUACAGAGUGUCCAGCUAGAUUUUUGUGAUGAUGGAAAUGUUUUACAUCUUUACACACCAAUAAAAUAGUUAGUAGGCAAAUGAGGCUACUGAACACUUCAAAUGUGGCUUCUGCAGCUGAGGAGCUGAAUUUUUCAUUUCAAUUAAUAUCUAC
rnacentral:lncRNA from 1 species